UUAGGAAUUUUGGGCAAUGGCCGCAAGGCUGACCCAGCAACGCCGCGUGGGGACGAAGGCCUUCGGGUUGUAAACCCCUUUUCCCAGGGACGAUGAUGACGGUACCUGGGGAAUAAGCCCCGGCUAACUACGUGCCAGCAGCCGCGGUAAUACGUAGGGGGCGAGCGUUGUCCGGAUUCAUUGGGCGUAAAGCGCGCGUAGGCGGCCCCGCAAGUCGGCCGUGAAAUCUCCGGGCUCAACUCGGAGGGGUCGGGCGAGACUGCGAGGCUCGAGGUGGGCAGAGGGCAGUGGAAUUCCGGGUGUAGUGGUGGAAUGCGUAGAGAUCCGGAGGGACACCAGUGGCGAAGGCGGCUGCCUGGGCCUGGCCUGACGCUGAGGCGCGAAGGCGUGGGGAGCAAUCCGGAUUAGAUACCCGGGUAGUCCACGCCGUAAACGAUGGGUACUAGGUGUCGGGGGUAUCGACCCCUCGGUGCCGGCGCUAACGCAAUAAGUACCCCGCCUGGGGAGUACGGCCGCAAGGCUAAAACUCAAAGGAAUU
rnacentral:rRNA from 1 species